rnacentral:rRNA from 1 species
UACGUAGGGUGCAAGCGUUGUCCGGAAUUAUUGGGCGUAAAGAGCUCGUAGGCGGUCUGUUACGUCGGCUGUGAAAACCUGGGGCUCAACUCCGGGCCUGCAGCCGAUACGGGCAGACUAGAGUUCGGCAGGGGAGACUGGAAUUCCUGGUGUAGCGGUGGAAUGCGCAGAUAUCAGGAGGAACACCAAUGGCGAAGGCAGAUCUCUGGGCCGUAACUGACGCUGAGGAGCGAAAGCAUGGGGAGCGAACAGG